UCCCCUUUAACAUAAAUAAUUGCCUUGUUUUAGAAGCCAUGGCGAGCAGGUUCCACCACAGAGGGGUUGGCUGUGGGCAACAAGUUCCUGCUGAAUACACAGAUUCAUUACAUUGUCCUGCACUUGUGCUGAGGAGAUCACAAUGGGCCUCUGAAGGAAGCUUUACUCAACAGGAUGAUGUCCUGCUGGAACAAAUAUCCCAGGCAGUUGGCUCAGCUUUUUGACAUGCACACUCCAUUAUCUACAAGAAUAAAGCAGCUCACCCGUGGCCCUGGCCUCGAUUUCUUCUACCUGAGCUGGCUUUUCAAUCUACUCUCUGGCAGCAGACUUAGGUUAGAUCUGCCAAAACAGCUUUACACAUCCAGAAACUCCAGAAGGAAUGACAAGCUCCAGUUCUUCUUCAGUCCCCUAAAGCUUCAGUCCACCCCAGCCCUACAAAAGUAUGAUUGGCUAUAAAUAAAUUUCAGAGGGCUGUACUAAAUUAGCUGUGGCAACACAUAUUUUGAAAGGCACAAUACACAAACAUCUGAAACCCCAGCACUUUCUAGAGCUGGAAUUCUAGUGAAACUAAGUCUUCACUAGAAUGGCUGGUGAAACUUUCCUAAGAGCAAGACCCUAAUAAACUCAACUAGACUUUUUACA
rnacentral:lncRNA from 1 species